rnacentral:lncRNA from 1 species
ACUUUAUUUCGUCAAACACUCAACAAUGUUUGAACAUUUGCUCUGUACAAGGUGCUAAGGAUCAGUAAAGGAGUAGUACAGUUUAAGACAACACAACAAGAACAAACUCUUCACUCCACUGGCUGUAACACCUUUUUACUGAGAUCUUCAUGGUACAACUUCUUGAACAGGUGUUGUUUUUAAGAGUCACUCUUUCCACAUUUUUCUUCUCUUCCUCAACACACAAAUGAAUUGUGUGUUGGACUUUCCAGUUGAACUUCCAACCCAACUAUUUGUGGAAAUUGCUCUAAACAAAUUACUUACAAUGUUGCCAAAAUCAAUAAUCGUUUAUUUUCCUAUUGCAUUUGAUGUGACAGCAGCACCCAACAUAGUGAACCAAACUCUUCUUGAAACACUUUCUUCACUUGACUUUCACAAGGCCAUGUCCUCCUAAUUUUUCUCCUUGCUGCCACCAACUCCUACUCAGCAUAUUUAGCUGGCCCCUCCUUCUCUGUUCAACUUCCAAAUGUUGAUAUGUGUAUUCCAGGAUUCAGUCCAGAAACUUCCCCUGUUAUACAUGAAUAUUCUUACCCUAACUUAUUUCAUCUAGUCCUAUGCCUUUAAAACUUAUUCUAUGCUUCUCAUGACCUCUCUGGGACUCAAGCACAAGGGGUGUAAUUAUCCUAAAGUAAACCAGGAGUUUAGUAAGCCGGCCAAAAAGAGGGAUUUUCCUUUUCCCAGCAUGAGAGACUGUGCUUAGUAUAGAUCCCUGUAAAAUGGGUGGCUUUCUCCCCUAAGAAAAGGUAAACGCUUUGUGUGAGCCCCAAGGACUCUAGAUGCCGGGCAGUUGAUUUUUCCAGACAAUCUUGUGAACAGCUGACACCUAAGUCUAGAAUGUUUCACACCAACAGCCUGUGUGUUCCCCCAUUGAUAAAGCUGUGUCUUGUGCUUACGUGAUAAAAAAUUAUAACAAGGGAGACUAAUGUUCCCACACUGGAAUGCAGACUCCCAUUGUGAGCCCAGCAUUUCCUGACCAUUUAUGCAUCAGUAUAAAAUAGGAGGAUGGAGAAAUCAUGCUGUCUAUUCUUUUGGUGAUCAGUAAUCUUUGUGAGUCUUCCUAAUAUUGCAUUUUUUUUUUCUGAGUACAGACAGGGGACUUUAUUGGUGGUACAUGACAAGGUGGGGUUCCCUAGGCACCUCCCUCUUCAGGGGGUCUGCACUAAACUGUGUGGAGGAGAGAUUCUCAGUGUUGGGGGGGACUGAGUGUGGCAGGGACUCCCCAGCAGCUGAGGGCCUCUGUUUUCCUCUCAUGCCAUCGCUGGGGCUGGUGGUCCACAGGUCUUACUCCUUGGAGGCCACGUGAGCCAUGAGGUUAACCACCCUGUUGCUGUAGCCAAACUCAUUUUCACAUCAGAAAAUGAGCUUAACAAAGUGGUCAUUGAGGGCAUUGCCAGUCCCAGGAUCCAAGGUGAAAGAGUGGGUGUCAGUGGUUAAGCUGGAGGAGACAACCUCGUUCUUAGUGUAGCACAAGAUGCCCUUAUGGGGGCCUUCUGAUGCUGCUUCACCACCUUCUUGAUGUUAUCAUAUUUGGCAUGUUUUUCCUGAGGGCAGGUC